UGAGCAUGACAAGGUGGCAAAGUUACUGGGCACAGCGAGGAGGUGACCAGUGACUUUGAUGGGCACGGGCUGCACAGUGAGGUGGCAUGGUGAGGUGGUGUGGUGAGGCAGUGAACGAUGAGGUUGAUGGAAAUGGCUAGGCAUCCGAAGGGGGGAGGCGAGGCGACUGUCCGAUGGCUCGGGGAGGCAGUCCGACAGCUCAAAGAGGCG
rnacentral:lncRNA from 1 species